rnacentral:lncRNA from 1 species
GCAAGCAAAAUAUCAACCAAAACUUUACAAAUUUCAUUAGUAGGCAACCAUAAUAUGUCAAACCACAAAAGUUAACCAUGUCAAACAUCGACAUAUCAUUACAUUCCAUGAUUUGAAACCAAUAUAAAUAUUGCUAUUUCUCCCUAGAUAACUGCUAUAUACCUAACAUGUGCUAAAAUCAAAAGAUGGACUUCAAUUCCAUGGUCAACAAAAUACUAGAGAUGGAUGAUAUCAAAAUAGAGGAAUUCUUCAGUAUGAGCUAAAAGCAGUCCAAAAGCCAAAAGCAGUCCAUAAUGUUGAGUUUAUCCCAAACUCAAAAGCCAAAAGCCAAAAGCAGUCCCAAACGUUCAUCCCAAACCUGUACAAUAAAACCAAGAAAAAUCUGAAAUCAGAGAAACAAUAGAAUGGCAUGGAAAAGAUGUAUUUUUGUUAUGAUGCAUGGAUGAUCACUACAAAUUGAUUAGGAACCACCUAAUCAUGAGGACAAGCAAUACAAGAAUAAUUACUAUGCUGAAGCAACCAAGUUGUUCCACAAUAGUAAGUAACUACACAUAAAUGCAUUUGUUUCGAAUAAAGAUCUACAAACUCACCAUUACUAGGAAGAACCUCCACACUGCUUCUGUUUCCAAACGAGGAAUUCUUGCAGCAUUUCUUGUAUCCCUUGCUGGCUUUGUACAAGAUUUUGGAUUUGGGUAUCUUGUGCUUGAAUUCGCUCCUCAUAGCAUUGAAUCUUCUCCUUGCACUGUUUUAGUUCUUCAAGUAGUGCUCUAUUAGCUGAAGAUUCGGGUUUGCGAGAAGAUUGGGGUGGUAUGACCCCCAUACCCAACCCUUUGGCACGACCAGCCCUCUUUCCUAGGACAUUUUCCAUAAUUUUAACUUCAUUGACAAUUUCUCCAUUCUCGAUGCAUUGCCUUCUCUCUUCUUUUAACUCAUCCUGUACAUAUUAGAUUCACAUAACUCAAAGAGUCAUUAAAUGUAUAAUAUAUAUGUAAAUGUCAUGUUACUAAUAAAAAACAAAGUUACUAGAAUCAGCCGACUAUAGUGAAAAUUACAUCGAGAGAUUUUGCAGUAUUAUUCACAAAUUGGCCAUCCUUUUUUAUGUGAGCAGCAGUCCAGGCAUCAAUUGCACUUGGUGGAACC